UUUACCUAUUAUACCCUCAAUUAAUUAAUUUUGAAAAAAGUAGAACUUCUUGAAAAUCUUAAAUUUUUAAUUCAUCCACUUCAUAAUGAAUAGGGGCAAAAUAAUAAAUUCACUAUGUCAACAAUUGUUUUCUUAAUUGGUGUGUCAAUUCAAAAGUGGACAAGUAAUUAGGGACAGAGGGAGUACUAGCAUGAUAUCCCUUUCUUCCAAAAAAAA
rnacentral:misc_RNA from 1 species